UACGAAGGGGGGCUAGCGUUGCUCGGAAUCACUGGGCGUAAAGGGUGCGUAGGCGGGUCUUUUAAGUCAGGGGUGAAAUCCUGGAGCUCAACUCCAGAACUGCCUUUGAUACUGAGGAUCUUGAGUUCGGGAGAGGUGAGUGGAACUGCGAGUGUAGAGGUGAAAUUCGUAGAUAUUCGCAAGAACACCAGUGGCGAAGGCGGCUCACUGGCCCGAUACUGACGCUGAGGCACGAAAGCGUGGGGAGCAAACAGGG
rnacentral:rRNA from 1 species